rnacentral:SRP_RNA from 1 species
GCCUGGCGUGGUGGUGUGUGCUUGUAGUCCAGCUACUUGGGAGGCUGAGGCUGGAGGAUCGCUUGAGUCCAGGAGUUCUGGGCUGUAGUGCACUAUGCCAAUUGGGUGUCUGCACUGAGUUCAGCAUCAAUAUGGUGACAUCCCGGGAGUGGGGGACCACCAGGUUGCCUAAGGAGGAGUAAACCGGCCCAGGUCAGAAACAGAGCAGGUCAAAACUCCCAUGCUGAUUAGUAGUGGGAUCGCCUGUGAAUAGCCACUGCACUCCAGUCUGGGCAACAUCGUGAGACCCUGUCUUU